ACAUUCUCAAGCUGGAUGCUUUUUUCCUUUAAAAAGUUCUUAGCUUGGUUUUGGGCUUUGCAGUGCCCCCUUCAUCGGGGAACUGCUGGCCUUAAAAGUAUUAGCUGGCCCUCAUGUGGGAUUGGUUCUACUCAGCGUGAUAAUAGUGACUGCUGAGGACAUCUUUCGGGAUGGCCAAGUUCUAUUUAGGGGUUGCUUCUAAUCCGUGGCCUGCAGGUUCUUUGAAUCUGUUCCACACAAUCACAA
rnacentral:misc_RNA from 1 species